rnacentral:rRNA from 1 species
CAUGCAGUUCGAGCGAGGCCUGGGGGGCAACUCCCAGAGGUCGAGCGGCGGACGGNCUGAGUAACACGUGGGUAACCUGCCCGGAAGUGGGGAAUACCUCGGGGAAACUCGAGCUAAUACCGCAUGACAUCUUCGGGACGAAAGUCCUGACGAUCAAAGCGGGGUCGCAAGAUCUCGCGCUACCGGAUGGGCCCGCGCCCGAUUAGCUAGUUGGUGAGGUAACGGCUCACCAAGGCUUCGAUCGGUAACCGGCCUGAGAGGGCGAUCGGUCACACCGGAACUGAGACACGGUCCGGACUCCUACGGGAGGCAGCAGUGGGGAAUCUUGCGCAAUGGGCGAAAGCCUGACGCAGCAACNCCGCGUGGAGGAUGAAGGCCCUUGGGUUGUAAACUCCUGUCGGCUGGGAAGAAAUCGUUCGGGGUUAAUACCCUCGAACGUUGACUGUACCAGCAAAGGAAGCCCCGGCUAACUCUGUGCCAGCAGCCNCGGUAAUACAGAGGGGGCUAGCGUUAUUCGGAAUUAUUGGGCGUAAAGGGCGCGUANGCGGNCAUGCGUGUCUUCCGUGAAAUCCCUCGGCUUAACUGAGGACGUGCGGAAAAAACUGCAAGGCUCGAGUCCGGGAGAGGGGGGUGGAAUUCCCAGUGUAGCGGUGAAAUGCGUANAUAUUGGGAGGAACACCGGUGGCGAANGCGUUCCCCUGGACCGGUACUGACNCUGAGGCCCGAAAGCGUGGGUAGCA